AUGAACGCUGGCGGCGUGCUUAACACAUGCAAGUCGAACGAAGCACUUUAUUUGAUUUCCUUCGGGACUGAUUAUUUUGUGACUGAGUGGCGGACGGGUGAGUAACGCGUGGGUAACCUGCCUUGUACAGGGGGAUAACAGUUGGAAACGGCUGCUAAUACCGCAUAAGCGCACGGCAUCGCAUGAUGCAGUGUGAAAAACUCCGGUGGUAUAAGAUGGACCCGCGUUGGAUUAGCUAGUUGGUGAGGUAACGGCCCACCAAGGCGACGAUCCAUAGCCGACCUGAGAGGGUGACCGGCCACAUUGGGACUGAGACACGGCCCAAACUCCUACGGGAGGCAGCAGUGGGGAAUAUUGCACAAUGGGCGAAAGCCUGAUGCAGCGACGCCGCGUGAGCGAAGAAGUAUUUCGGUAUGUAAAGCUCUAUCAGCAGGGAAGAUAAUGACGGUACCUGACUAAGAAGCACCGGCUAAAUACGUGCCAGCAGCCGCGGUAAUACGUAUGGUGCAAGCGUUAUCCGGAUUUACUGGGUGUAAAGGGAGCGCAGGCGGUGCGGCAAGUCUGAUGUGAAAGCCCGGGGCUCAACCCCGGUACUGCAUUGGAAACUGUCGUACUAGAGUGUCGGAGGGGUAAGCGGAAUUCCUAGUGUAGCGGUGAAAUGCGUAGAUAUUAGGAGGAACACCAGUGGCGAAGGCGACUUACUGGACUGUAACUGACGUUGAGGCACGAAAGUGUGGGGAGCAAACAGGAUUAGAUACCCUGGUAGUCCACACCGUAAACGAUGGAUACUAGGUGUAGGAGAUAUUAAGUCUUCUGUGCCGUCGCAAACGCAAUAAGUAUCCCACCUGGGGAGUACGGCCGCAAGGUUGAAACUCAAAGGAAUUGACGGGGGCCCGCACAAGCAGUGGAGUAUGUGGUUUAAUUCGAAGCAACGCGAAGAACCUUACCAAGGCUUGACAUAUACAGGAAUAUUUAAGAGAUUAAAUAGCUCUUCGGAGUCUGUAUACAGGUGGUGCAUGGUUGUCGUCAGCUCGUGUCGUGAGAUGUUGGGUUAAGUCCCGCAACGAGCGCAACCCUUAUCUUUAGUAGCCAGCGGUCAGGCCGGGCACUCUAGAGAGACUGCCAGGGAUAACCUGGAGGAAGGCGGGGAUGACGUCAAAUCAUCAUGCCCCUUAUGACUUGGGCUACACACGUGCUACAAUGGCGUAAACAAAGGGAAGCAAAGCUGUGAAGCCGAGCAAAUCUCAAAAAUAACGUCUCAGUUCGGACUGUAGUCUGCAACCCGACUACACGAAGCUGGAAUCGCUAGUAAUCGCAGAUCAGAAUGCUGCGGUGAAUACGUUCCCGGGUCUUGUACACACCGCCCGUCACACCAUGGGAGUUGGGAAUGCCCGAAGCCAGUGACCUAACCGAAAGGAAGGAGCUGUCGAAGGCAGGCUCGAUAACUGGGGUG
rnacentral:rRNA from 1 species